GCGUGAUGAGGACGAUCAGGAAAGGCAACGCUCCGAGCGCACUGCUGUUGUGAGAACUAUUCAUGCAGGCUCUGAAUCUUCACUAGUAAGUCCACAAUACGGAUUCUGUUUUCAUCUUGAACCUCUCAGUUCUUUGCAAUUAACACCAAGAUCCCAAAUGCUGCCUCCUGUACAUUUCACAGCAAGAAGUUAUUUAUAGAACCCGAUGGUUUAGAUUAAGCAAAACUCUGCUGAAACUGGAGGAUGCAGUUACACCAAAUUCUGAGGACAAAAGUGAGAAGCAGUUGCACUUCUUGGAGGAAUUAGAACCUGUCACACAUUGUAGCUCACAUGGCAAAGCAGAUGAUGGAUGCAAAUGGAGUUUGCUGGGACCUGAACACUGACGUGGCCCAAGCAAUCUGCAAUCAACCUCACAAGAUUCAGUCGUCUUACUGUAUUGGGCAGCAGUGCACCAGCUCCUCAGGCACCGCUAGGAAUGGGAUGGACAUCCUUAAAAAAAAAUCUCAGGAUUCCUCACAGCAGCUGCCAGCAAUGAUGCAAGAUUUACUAACAAGACAAGUUUUAACUGAAUUCCAUACAAUACUCAAUAAUACAAUCACCGUACCACCCGUUUUGGCAUUUCAUAUUAAAAUGAUGUUACCCUUAAAUAUUUUUCAGUGUGCCACAUAUUAUGGCAUGGGAAUAAUGACCAUAAAAGUUG